UACGUAGGGGGCAAGCGUUGUCCGGAAUCAUUGGGCGUAAAGCGCGUGUAGGCGGCCCGGUAAGUCCGCUGUGAAAGUCGGGGGCUCAACCCUCGGAUGCCGGUGGAUACUGUCGGGCUCGAAUCCGGAAGAGGUGAGUGGAAUUCCUGGUGUAGCGGUGAAAUGCGCAGAUAUCAGGAGGAACACCAAUGGCGAAGGCAGCUCACUGGGACGGUAUUGACGCUGAGACGCGAAAGCGUGGGGAGCAAACAGG
rnacentral:rRNA from 1 species